rnacentral:rRNA from 1 species
CCUACGGGCGGCAGCAGUGAGGAAUAUUGGGCAAUGGAGGCAACUCUGAACCAGCAAUGCCGCGUGAGUGAUGACGGUAAUUUUAUUGUAAAGCUCUUUUCUUUGGAACGAAUAAAUGACGGUACCAAAGGAAUAAGCCCCUGCUAACUACGUGCCAGCAGCCUCGGUCAUAGGUAGGGGGCAAGCGUUUUCCGGAUUUAUGUGGUUUAACGGGUGCGUAGGCGGAUUGAUAAUUUAGAGGGGAAAUGUCCGAGCUUAAAUCGGGAACUGCCGCUAAUACUGUUGAUCUAGAGAGUAGUUGCGGUAGGCGGAAUGUAUGGUGUAGCGGUGAAAUGCUUAGAGAUCAUACAGAACACCGAUUGCGAAGGCAGCUUACCAAUCUAUAUCUGACGUUGAGGCACGAAAGCGUGGGGAGCAAACAGGAUUAGAUACCCUUGUAGUC